AUUGAACGCUGGCGGCAGGCCUAACACAUGCAAGUCGAGCGGUUGAGGGGAGCUUGCUCCCUGAUUCAGCGGCGGACGGGUGAGUAAUGCCUAGGAAUCUGCCUAUUAGUGGGGGACAACGUUUCGAAAGGAACGCUAAUACCGCAUACGUCCUACGGGAGAAAGCAGGGGACCUUCGGGCCUUGCGCUAAUAGAUGAGCCUAGGUCGGAUUAGCUAGUAGGUGAGGUAAUGGCUCACCUAGGCGACGAUCCGUAACUGGUCUGAGAGGAUGAUCAGUCACACUGGAACUGAGACACGGUCCAGACUCCUACGGGAGGCAGCAGUGGGGAAUAUUGGACAAUGGGCGAAAGCCUGAUCCAGCCAUGCCGCGUGUGUGAAGAAGGUCUUCGGACUGUAAAGCACUUUAAGUUGGGAGGAAGGGUUGUAGAUUAAUACUCUGCAAUUUUGACGUUACCGACAGAAUAAGCACCGGCUAACUCUGUGCCAGCCGCCGCCGUAAAAC
rnacentral:rRNA from 1 species